rnacentral:rRNA from 1 species
UACGUAGGGGGCUAGCGUUGUCCGGAUUUAUUGGGCGUAAAGAGCGUGUAGGCGGCCAAGUAGGUCCGUUGUGAAACUGGAGGCUUAACCUCCAGCUGUCGAUGGAAACCAUUUGGCUAGAGUCCGGAAGAGGAGAGUGGAAUUCCUGGUGUAGCGGUGAAAUGCGCAGAUAUCAGGAAGAACACCCGUGGCGAAGGCGGCUCUCUGGGACGGUACUGACGCUGAGAAGCGAAAGCAUGGGGGAGCGAACAGG